rnacentral:lncRNA from 1 species
GGAUAUUUUCAUCUAAGUCUUGUUCUGGAAAAGGCAAAGUUUCUGAUCUUUCAACGAUGUCAUCUCUACUUCCAUUUCCCAUGUCAAACAAGUCUCUAGGGGUGUUUCGGAGUACAACGUACUAACCCUCAUCAAUUGGAUCUUUCGAGUAAAAAACUUGUUUAACUUGAGAAGAAAAUACAUACGGCUCGUCUAUCAAAUGUUCUCCAGUGUGAAUUAAUCGAGAGAAAUUCACUAUUGUAAAACCAAACUGAUCAUUUUUAAUUCCGCGAGCAGUAUUAGCAUCAGCCCAAUCACAUCGAAAUAAGACAACUUUCCAUUUUCCAUAAUAAUCCAACUCAAUAAUGUCGGUUAGAAGUCCAUAAUACUCCACAUUUCCCUC